GCCCCUGUAGCUCAGUUGGUUAGAGCGCUGUACCGGAAUCGCAGGGCCGUAUGUAGGUUCAAUUCCUACCAGAGGAC
rnacentral:tRNA from 1 species